rnacentral:rRNA from 1 species
GACAGAGGGUGCAAACGUUGCUCGGAAUUACUGGGCGUAAAGCGCGUGUAGGCUGACCGGAAAGUCGGGCGUGAAAUCCCUGGGCUCAACCCAGGAACUGCACUCGAAACUCCCGGUCUUGAGUGGUGGAGAGGGAAGUGGAAUUCCUGGUGUAGAGGUGAAAUUCGUAGAUAUCAGGAGGAACACCAGUGGCGAAGGCGGCUUCCUGGACACCAACUGACGCUGAGACGCGAAAGCGUGGGGAGCAAACAGGAUUAGAAACCCCCGUAGUCC